rnacentral:rRNA from 1 species
AGAGUUUGAUCAUGGCUCAGGAUGAACGCUAGCGGCAGGCUUAAUACAUGCAAGUCGUGGGGCAGCGCGGGUAGCAAUACCUGGCGGCGACCGGCAAACGGGUGCGGAACACGUACGCAACCUUCCUUUAAGCGGGGAAUAGCCCAGGGAAACUUGGAUUAAUACCCCAUAAGACAGUGGAGUGGCAUCACUCAGCUGUUAAAGCUCCGGCACUUAAAGAUGGGCGUGCGGCUGAUUAGGUAGUUGGCGGGGUAACGGCCCACCAAGCCGACGAUCAGUAACUGGUGUGAGAGCACGACCAGUCACACGGGCACUGAGACACGGGCCCGACUCCUACGGGAGGCAGCAGUAAGGAAUAUUGGUCAAUGGACGCAAGUCUGAACCAGCCAUGCCGCGUGGAGGAUGAAGGCCCUCUGGGUUGUAAACUUCUUUUAUUGGGGAAGAAACCUGACUUUUCUAAGGCAGUUGACGGUACCCGAUGAAUAAGCACCGGCUAACUCCGUGCCAGCAGCCGCGGUAAUACGGAGGGUGCAAGCGUUAUCCGGAUUCACUGGGUUUAAAGGGUGCGUAGGUGGGCAGGUAAGUCAGUGGUGAAAUCUCUGGGCUUAACCCAGAAACUGCCGUUGAUACUAUCUGUCUUGAAUAUAGUGGAGGUGAGCGGAAUAUGUCAUGUAGCGGUGAAAUGCUUAGAUAUGACAUAGAACAUCGAUUGCGAAAGGCAGCUCGCUACACUAUCAUUGACACUGAGGCACGAAAGCGUGGGGAUCAAACAGGAUUAGAUACCCUGGUAGUCCACGCCCUAAACGAUGGAUACUCGACAUCAGCGAUACACUGUUGGUGUCUGAGCGAAAGCAUUAAGUAUCCCACCUGGAAGUACGACCGCAAGGUUGAAACUCAAAGGAAUUGACGGGGUCCGCACAGCGGUGGAGCAUGUGGUUUAAUCGAUGAUACGCGAGGACCUUACCUGGGCUAGAUGCAAG